rnacentral:rRNA from 1 species
UGAGUAACCUGCCCUUAACUCUGGGAUAAGCCUGGGAAACUGGGUCUAAUACCGGAUAUGACUCCUCAUCGCAUGGUGGGGGGUGGAAAGCUUUUGUGGUUUUGGAUGGACUCGCGGCCUAUCAGCUUGUUGGUGAGGUAAUGACUCACCAAGGCGACGACGGGUAGCCGGCCUGAGAGGGUGACCGGCCACACUGGGACUGAGACACGGUCCAGACCUCCGUACGGGAGGCAG